GGACCACCCUGGUACCCCAUUAGAACGUUCUCACUUUGUAACUCAAGUGUGAAACCGCAAGGGAAGUAAUUAAUAAAUGCUUCCCCUGGGUGGGCGCCAUUUCGUGUAACCAAAUACACGUGUUCGGCAAAAGAGUAGCGGCCAGUUUGUCUCCUGAACGUGGGUACUUGGUCGUCGAGUGCAAGGAACUCUUUUCGGCUAGGCACUCACAAGAAACCUGGUAAAGAUUAUAUCGCUGUCGUUCUACUUCCCGACCAACUAUGCGAACAACGUUCGGGAGAUGGGAACUACCGACUUGGGGGGAGCAUUCGCUCCCUGAAAUCAAGAAAAUUUCUUGGAUGGUUUUCACACAGGAACCCCCGAACAGAGACCAGCCGGGACAAUCAUUUCCCUGGAACUAUUUUGGGCCAUCACCUCAUGUCCGGCCAAUUGGUCAAGCAAUCCAAUUCUGCCUAACAGAUCUGAGUGAUACUUGGCCAAGUUGUACACUCAGAUCAGAGCUAUCUGGGGAAGUAACUUUUGUGGGGUUCCUGGUUAUAAUGGGCGAACUUUUGGGAUAUUAUAUAUUUUUGUGUAGGUUUUCCUGUACCUGUGAGAUAAUUGAGUUAUGGUUUUCUCACGCAAUUAUCUCUCAGGCACAGAGGACCCUGGGAAAGUUAACCCUGUAAUGUUGUGUUGGAGACUCCAUUUUAGGGCUCUGUACAUAAAAGCCAUUUG